rnacentral:rRNA from 1 species
GGGGGCCCGCAAGCGGUGGAGCAUGUGGUUUAAUUCGAUGCAACGCGAAGAACCUUACCUGCUCUUGACAUCCACGGAAAACUGCAGAGAUGCGGUUGUGCCUUCGGGAACCGUGAGACAGGUGCUGCAUGGCUGUCGUCAGCUCGUGUUGUGAAAUGUUGGGUUAAGUCCCGCAACGAGCGCAACCCUUAUCCUUUGUCGCCAGCGAUUCGGUCGGGAACUCAAAGGAGACUGCCGGUGAUAAACCGGAGGAAGGUGGGGAUGACGUCAAGUCAUCAUGGCCCUUACGAGCAGGGCUACACACGUGCUACAAUGGCGCAUACAAAGAGAAGCGACCUCGCGAGAGCAAGCGGACCUCAUAAAGUGCGUCGUAGUCCGGAUCGGAGUCUGCAACUCGACUCCGUGAAGUCGGAAUCGCUAGUAAUCGUGGAUCAGAAUGCCACGGUGAAUACGUUCCCGGGCCUUGUACACACC